rnacentral:sRNA from 1 species
ACCAUCAUUCAUGGACUGCCAGCAAGUAGGGUUGUUCAAGAAUAGAAUGUGACGCUCUCUCUACACUCUUUGACUCAUAACACCUACAUAUUUCCCCUGCCAUUGAGUUGUGCAGACACUUUACUUAAACCCAUACGUCCAUACCUCGUUAGCAUGAUGGCCUCCUUGGAUAGGUGGUGUCUUAUCGCGUCUGGAGGAGACAGUGGAUGCCUAUAUCCUGGUGAUGUUUUCUAUCUGACCGGGGAGAAUAAUCUGCAAAACUUGAGACUCUGUCUAUCCUUCUUUUUUUUUUUUUUGCAUGGAAAAUGCUUUCAUUGC